rnacentral:rRNA from 1 species
UACAGAGGGUGCGAGCGUUGUCCGGAAUCACUGGGCGUAAAGGGCGCGUAGGCGGCUCGGUAAGGUUGCGGUGAAAGCCCGGGGCUCAACCCCGGGUCGGCCGUGGCAACUGCUGAGCUGGAGCACUGUAGAGGCAGGUGGAAUUCCGGGUGUAGCGGUGGAAUGCGUAGAGAUCCGGAAGAACACCGGUGGCGAAGGCGGCCUGCUGG